CACGCUUACUUUAGUAAUGUGAGGUUAGCAAUUUUCAUUUAACAUUACGAGGAAAAACAAUAUGGCAUUAUUAACAGAAGAAAAGGCUAAAAUUGUCGAGAAAUACAAGAGAAAUGAU
rfam:SAR86 cluster bacterium SAR86A genomic scaffold Contig_0, whole genome shotgun sequence.